rnacentral:rRNA from 1 species
UAACGCGUGAGUAACCUGCCUUGGAGUGGGGAAUAACAGAUGGAAACAUCUGCUAAUACCGCAUAAUACGUCUGUGUCGCAUGGCACUGGACGUCAAAGAUUUAUCGCUCUGAGAUGGACUCGCGUCUGAUUAGCUGGUUGGCGGGGUAACGGCCCACCAAGGCGACGAUCAGUAGCCGGACUGAGAGGUUGGCCGGCCACAUUGGGACUGAGACACGGCCCAGACUCCUACGGGAGGCAGCAG